UCCAAGAAAGGCUUCAAGAAAGCGGUCACC
rnacentral:piRNA from 1 species